UUCUCUUUCAUUUUAUUUUUAACAACUUGUAAAAGUUAUUAACCUAAUAAUAUUAAUUAAAUUUAAAAUCUCGUAGAAAAUGUUCUUAACAUUUACGACUCUAUUUUUUGGCAAAAUUAAAAUCGUAAAUGGUUGACCUAAAAAAAUCUUUAUAAUCAGAAAAAACUCGAGAGAACAUUUGAAUCGAAAUAUUAUUAUUUUCAGAAACAGCUGGCAACUGUUUGUCCUGAGGCGCCUCCAAAAAUAAGAGUAGCGUUCUCGGGAGUUACGAAAGUUAUAAGAGCGCGUGCGCGCUUGGGACAAAUAUCCAGAACUGAGUCGGUCGUGGGUGGUUGGCGGUGGUGGAUAGCCGAGGGUGGUGGCGACGAAGGAUAGCGACAGCGGCUGCGGAGAGCGUAGCAGCGAGUAACAGAGGCAGUAGUGGUGGAAGCAACCCCGGGGUUGCGUUCCGCCGACGGGGGUGGAAGUCGCACGAAACUGAGGGUUGCCCGCGCCACUCGCUCGUACUCGCUUGCGCUCGCUCGCACUCGCACCCCCAGCCGGCCGGGGUGUUACCAUGGAUACGGCGCUCGCGCCUUGACAUUGACAAAUGGUUGGCCGAGGAAAGCGAAUUAUGAAAAGCGAGCAGUGUUAAAUUAAGUAAAAUAAUCGGAGAACAUGAUUGUAAUAAAGUGAAUAUGAGGAAAGGAAAGGAAAAUUUUCACUGCUACGCGUUUCUUGACAUCACGACUUGUCUCGUUAGCUUCUUGCACCGCCAAUGCCGACUACGCAAACUGCCGACUAGGCGCUUUUAUUGGAUGACGCCUGGCAGAAAGCAUCGAUGGCAGCAAAAAUAAUUGGUACCUUCCCCGAUUCUCGACGCUGCCGCGUAACAAGGUCCAUUUCCAUGGAAUAACCAUCAGCGGUAAUUGGCACCUACAGCAACACCGCGAUGCUCUUUGGUCCUCCACCCACCCUAUCAUAUUUCAGAACAGGCAGUAUGCCAGACAGAGACGUGGGGAGGAAAUUUGGUCCAGGGGAUAUGUGCGAAUAGAAAAUGUGUUUCAUACAGCAACAGUACCCUUUCGCUUUUCAAUCGUACUCGGAGAAGUGAUUCCAAGAGCGGUAGAUAUAAUAAAGCGAAGCGAAGCCAUCGACAGCUCGCUAACAACUUCUACCCAAUUCUUCUGCCAAGAUUUCCUACCUAUAAAACAUCGGUCAUAUGACGGUGGUUUGCUGAUUACGAAAUGCCGAUAUGUUGACGAUCUUGACAAGAUUUUGCGUUCUUUUGCAAAUUACUCUUCUAUUAAGUGACAAAACAUUUCCUCACUAUCAUGUGAUUCUUCAACGAAAUCUGUUGCAUAAUCUUCGAUAUCUAAUCGUAUAUCAUAAUAUCGUCUGCUGUUCUAACAUAAUUCAAUGCGCUCCGAUAGUUUUACUUUUUACUUUUUACCGUAGCUAUACGCGCUUACUUUUUUGUACAAGACGAAAAAUAUAAACAAAUCGAUUUGUGUAAAAAAAAAUUUUAAGCAUUGGAAAUUUUACAAUUAAAUAUUUGUGUUUAGUUAAAUAUUUACAAAAAAUCUAAAACGUGCCUCAAAUAAAAUAAUCUUUUCAACGUCAAAUAAUUUAUCUCUUUCCUUUAUGCUCUAUGAAAAUUAGAACGUUGAGUGUGACCAAAAGAUUUUGUUUAAAAAUUAAAUAAAAUGAAUACAUUACUGAGACAAGGAUCUUAUUUUUUUUUUCGAAUUUUGAAUAAAACAAAACUAAUCAAUAUUCAGCCAAAAAUGUGAAUUCCUACGUCGGGUAUGCGUAAUAAAGUAUGAUACAAAUAUACACAAGAUGUAGCAUUUAAUGCUCACGUUUCAAAAAACACUAUACAAUGGACACUCUCUAACAUAGACCACCCUUGACAUCGUUCUUCCUUUCAUCGUGUGAAUUUAAUAAAACAGAACCGAUGAGUUCAAGUACACAAAUGAUCGAGUGUAAUCUUUUCUCUCUCUCUCUCUCUCUCUCUUUUUCUCUCUGCAUACCUUGUACCUGUAUGUGUCGUAUAUGUGUAUCUGUGUAUAUGACUGUAUGUAUGUUUAUGUAAGUUUGAAUAAACAUGAACAUGUGUAAGAGUGUACGUAUGCCUGGGUAUGUGUGAUGGCUCGAGAGGCUUGUGCCCUUUAGUACAAUUAUAUGUAUGCACGUAGUCCCAUAAUACUUAAUACUUUACAUCAACGUGUGGUAUCCCACUGUUCGAUCCUCCGUUUUAACUUUUGACCAAAGCGUCUUGUGGAACUUCACGUUUCCCUUAUCUUUUCGUAUACGCGAGAGUGUACAAUCCGGGCAACGAGCACAUCUCCUCCGCUCGCGAUAAGCACGUAGAAAGGAUUUUCGACUGCUAUACAUAACUACACCACAAUCACAUUUCUCUCACGCUCUCCCUUGCACACGUUCCUCUCAUUCGUUCUGUUCUUUUCUCUUUUAUCCUUUUAUUCAUCUCUUUCAUACUUUAUCUCAUUUUUUUCACUCCUCUUGCUAUCACAAUCGUGUAAGUUAAUAUCGAAGAGCGAUACGAUUUACAAAGCAGAACACAAUUCAUAUAUUUCAUUCUUUUUUCUUUAAUUUAUUUGCAGUUUUUUCGUUCUCUUAUGUAAGGGCGUCAAUAAGUCGUCAAUACG
rnacentral:lncRNA from 1 species